AAGACUGCGACGGUACCGGGGCGGCGGGGAAGGACCGAGAGGCGGGAGGAGCAGCGGCUCAGGCGCCUGCAAACUGGUGGCCUGAACGAGGUAGACCAUGACUGUGGUUUCAGUGGCGUCACUCGCUGGGCUGCUCUUCCUGAGGUUUUCCUAAGCCAUCCCCUGGCGGAACCGCCCCCAGUUUUUGUCCAGAAGUGCUUAUAGAAAAGAUGGCUAAUAUUAACCUAAAAGAAAUAACCUUAAUAGUAGGUGUGGUUACUGCCUGCUAUUGGAACAGCCUCUUUUGUGGUUUUGUUUUUGAUGAUGUUUCAGCAAUACUGGAUAACAAAGACUUGCAUCCAUCUACACCUUUAAAAACUUUAUUUCAAAAUGACUUCUGGGGAACCCCUAUGUCUGAGGAGAGAAGCCACAAGUCUUACCGUCCCUUAACAGUAUUGACAUUUCGCUUAAAUUAUUUGUUAAGUGAACUAAAACCAAUGUCAUAUCAUCUCCUGAAUAUGAUUUUUCAUGCUGUGGUUAGUGUGAUAUUUCUCAAAGUAUGCAAACUUUUUCUGGACAACAAGAGUAGUGUGAUUGCUUCUUUACUUUUUGCAGUGCACCCAAUACACACAGAAGCAGUAACAGGAGUUGUUGGAAGAGCAGAACUUUUGUCAUCUAUCUUUUUUCUAGCAGCUUUUUUGUCAUAUACCAGAUCAAAAGGACCAGACAAUUCCAUAAUAUGGACUCCAAUUGCCUUGACAGUGUUUUUAGUGGCUGUUGCAACAUUAUGUAAAGAACAAGGAAUAACAGUUGUAGGAAUUUGCUGUGUGUAUGAAGUGUUUAUUGCCCAGGGGUAUACUUUGCCAUUACUAUGUACUACUGCUGGACAGUUUCUCCGUGGAAAGGGUAGCAUUCCAUUUUCUAUGCUGCAGACACUAGUAAAACUCAUUGUCUUGAUGUUCAGUACAUUAUUACUUGUUGUGAUUAGAGUCCAGGUUAUUCAAUCCCAACUUCCAGUAUUCACCAGGUUUGAUAACCCAGCUGCUGUAAGCCCAACUCCUACAAGGCAACUAACUUUUAACUACCUCCUUCCUGUGAAUGCUUGGUUGUUAUUAAAUCCUUCAGAGCUCUGCUGUGAUUGGACCAUGGGAACAAUACCACUUAUAGAGUCAUUACUAGAUAUUCGAAAUCUGGCCACAUUUACUUUCUUUUGUUUUCUGGGGAUGUUGGGAGUAUUCAGUAUCAGAUACUCUGGUGAUUCCUCCAAGACUGUUUUAAUGGCGCUUUGUUUAAUGGCAUUACCAUUUAUUCCUGCAUCGAACCUUUUUUUUCCAGUUGGAUUUGUUGUUGCCGAGCGAGUAUUAUAUGUUCCCAGCAUGGGGUUCUGUAUUUUGGUAGCCCAUGGAUGGCAGAAAAUAUCAACAAAAAGCCUGAGACAGAACAAACUUUGAGUCAGAUCCAAAUGAAAACAAGGAUGUUACUGAGAAUAAAGUCUCAAAUGACCAUUGCCACUUCCAUAUUCAGUGAACUAAGAUAAUAGUCAUCCUACUUAAUGUAUUUAAAAAGCUAUCCUGGAUUUGUCUGUCUAUGGUGAUACUCACUCAUUCCUUAAAAACAUUCCACAGAAAUUGGGAUUGGGAGUCUGAAUAUACAUUGUUUAUGUCAGCCUUGAAGGUAAAUAAAAAUAAUGCCAAACUUUGGAAUAAUGUGGGUCAUGCUCUGGAAAAUGAAAAGAACUUUGAGAGAGCUUUGAAAUACUUCUUACAGGCUACCCAUGUUCAGCCAGAUGAUAUUGGUGCCCAUAUGAAUGUAGGAAGAACUUAUAAAAAUUUAAAUAGAACCAAAGAAGCUGAAGAAUCUUACAUGAUGGCUAAAUCACUGAUGCCUCAAAUUAUUCCUGGUAAAAAAUAUGCAGCCAGAAUUGCCCCUAACCACCUAAAUGUUUAUAUCAAUCUGGCUAACCUGAUCCGAGCAAAUGAGUCCCGACUGGAAGAAGCAGAUCAGCUGUACCGUCAAGCAAUAAGCAUGAGGCCCGACUUCAAGCAGGCUUACAUUAGCAGAGGAGAAUUGCUUUUAAAAAUGAAUAAACCUCUUAAAGCAAAGGAAGCAUAUCUUAAAGCACUAGAGCUGGACAGAAAUAAUGCAGAUCUUUGGUACAACUUGGCAAUUGUACAUAUUGAACUUAAAGAACCAAAUGAAGCCCUAAAAAACUUUAAUCGUGCUCUGGAACUAAAUCCAAAGCAUAAACUAGCAUUAUUCAACUCUGCUAUAGUAAUGCAAGAAUCAGGUGAGGUUAAACUCAGACCUGAAGCUAGAAAACGACUUCUAAGUUAUAUAAAUGAAGAGCCACUAGAUGCUAAUGGGUAUUUCAAUUUGGGAAUGCUUGCCAUGGAUGACAAAAAGGACAAUGAAGCAGAGAUUUGGAUGAAGAAAGCCAUAAAGUUACAAGCCGACUUCCGAAGUGCUUUGUUUAAUCUGGCUCUCCUGUAUUCCCAGACUGCAAAGGAAUUAAAGGCUUUGCCAAUUUUGGAGGAGUUACUCAGAUACUACCCUGAUCAUAUCAAGGGCCUCAUUUUAAAAGGAGACAUUCUGAUGAAUCAAAAGAAAGAUAUACUAGGAGCAAAAAAAUGUUUUGAAAGGAUUUUGGAGAUGGAUCCAAGCAAUGUGCAAGGAAAACACAAUCUUUGUGUUGUUUAUUUUGAAGAAAAAGACUUAUUAAAAGCUGAAAGAUGCCUUCUUGAAACACUGGCAUUAGCACCACAUGAAGAAUAUAUUCAGCGCCAUUUGAAUAUAGUCAGGGAUAAGAUUUCCUCAUCUAGUUUUAUAGAGCCAAUAUUCCCAACCAGUAAGAUUUCAAGUGUGGAAGGAAAGAAAAUUCCAACUGAAAGUGUAAAAGAAAUUAGAGGUGAAUCCAGACAAACACAAAUAGUAAAAACAAGUGAUAAUAAAAGUCAGUCUAAAUCCAACAAACAAUUAGGAAAAAAUGGAGACGAAGAGACACCCCACAAAACAACAAAAGACAUCAAAGAAAUUGAGAAGAAAAGAGUUGCUGCUUUAAAAAGACUAGAAGAGAUUGAACGUAUUUUAAAUGGUGAAUAACAUUAAUAUUUAUCGUGACAAUGGUAUCAAAGAACAUCAAUCCGUAUCAUGUGAUUGCUUUUACUGGGAGCUUUGAAAAAAAGUUCAAGGGUUCCUAAUGGUCAAUCAUGAGCUGCCUUGAAGUAGGAUCAAAAUAAGAUUUUCAUUAAAGACCUGUAUUAUCCCAGGAUGUAUAUUAUGUAUCGCUGUUUUCAGAGUGUGGGUGAAUAUAGCAGAAAUAUUACAGCGGAAGUGACAAAUUUACAACUUUUAUUAUAGAAAGAAGGUGUUUCUGGCAAUGUAAUCUUUACUGCUCUCAAUUAAAAAUAAUUUUGAGGCCUGAAUGAUAAUCCCUUGAGGACAAAUCCAACAUGUGCUGGUUUAUUCUGUUAAUUCCCAUUUAUUUGCCUACUUCAUUUUUCUUGCACCUCUUAGAAUCUAACUAUGAAUUGAAAACACUUAAGUAAUUCUGUUUAAUCAAGGGAUUUACACUACAAAAGAAUGCUGGCUUUUUUUAUGUUGUAUUCCUUAGUUGAGUUUUAGAAGGAAUGCUUGAUGAAACAUUUUAAAAUAAGUCAUGACAUGUUAGCUUGAGAAUGUAUUUUCAUAAUUGUAUACUUGUUUUUAACUUUAAAUGUAAUUUUUAAUCAGGUAAAGUUUGACACAUGUAUAGCUACAUACACACAUUUUUAAUGGUGCUCAUAUAUACUGUAUUUUUUGUUGUUUAGUUUUACUUAUUGAGAGUGUCACAACAUGAAUCACAUAAUCAUGAUUUUUUUUUUUUACUUUUACUCCCCAAAUUAUUCAUGUUUCUUAGAUCGUAGUCAUUGAGAAGUCCCAAUAACUCUAAACUUUUGAGUUAUAACGUAGUAAACUUCUCUUUCAUCUUUGUGUUAGCUCUGUAGUCUUAACCUGGAUUUUAAUUUUUUUGUUUCCAAAGUCACAAUUGAAUUAUUCUUAGAUACCUUAAGCCACUGAAUUCAGUUCUGUUUGACUGAAAGCAAAACAACGUGACAGUUUAUUUUCAAACACUAACUUCUUGAUAUUUUGUUAUGGUAUAUCUUUUUAUUAAAUAUUUAUUUUGACUAAGCUUUCAUAAAAUAUUUGAAGCUAUUUUAAUCAUCAAGUAUGGAAAACAAAUUACUAUUGCAUUUUCCUAUAUAUGCAUAUAUUAUGGAUUAACCAGAAUUGUAUCAUUUUUGGCCUAAUGUCUGGAUAUAAAAGAUAAUUAGCCUACUAUAGUAUUAAUAAAUUUUUCAGUUGGUUUGGGCAAAUUUAAACCUGAAAAAUAGGUUAAAAAGUAGUUACAAAUUAAACUUACUAAUUUAUACCUGAUUUUUUUUCUUGAAUUAAAGUACAUUUUAAAUGAGCUUUAUAAUACCUUAAAAAGUUGGUUCUAAUUUAAAAUAUGAAAGCUCUGGCUAUCAUCCUGGGAUAGUAAUUUCUAAUUAUAUAGUAUUUCAAAACUAUAUAUUUUUUAGUUCCUUUGAGAUAACUAAUUUCUAAUUAUAUAUGUUUCAAAAACCAUAUCCUGUAUUUUUUUUAAGAAUUGUUUUAUAAAUAGGUCAUAAGAUACAAGGUCUGCAUUAGAAGACCCACUCUUACUAGGUUCCCUAAGGAUCUGCCAUAGAUUUUUUUUUUUUUUUUUUUUUUUUUAGGUAGUUUAAAGCAAGCACUGAUACCAGUGGGAGUUGGUCUUGAUCUAGGAGAUUCUGUUAAGCAUCCAAAAACAAUGCCUAAUUUCAGUUCUUAGGUUAUGGCUUGUGACUCCAGAUAAAAGAUGGAGAAUACCUCAUGUACUGUGACUUGAAAAUGAAUUCUUAAAAUUCUUAGGCUCUCUCCAUGUAUCUUUCUUAAGGAAAAGUUUCUGAGUGUGAUCUCUCUUUUGCCAUAGUAUCAAGUGGAGGGUAGUUCAGAAAAGUUAAUAGGAAAUCUUUUGUGACAGCAGACUAUAAUAGAAGUUUGAGUAAUAUUUUAAUAAAUUUAUAUAAUUCAAAUGAUAAAAAUGUAUCAAUGUUAUCCAAUGAUUUUUAUUAAAAAAUUACCUUAUUAUUAGAACUGUGCCUAUUACAUAAAAAGUGCUCAUGUAUUUGAAUUUUAAAUAAUUUAUUUAAAUCAAGACCACCAUAAGUCAUUAAUAAUUUAAUAAUUGUUUUAAAUCAGUGGUUUUCAACCCUCACUUCAUAUUAGAAUCAUCUGAGGACUUUUAAUAUGGAAUCCACCUCAUAACAAUUAAGUCUAAAUUUCUGGAAGAUGGAGCCAUGCUUGUUUUUCCAAAAGCUCUUUGAGUGAUUCUAAUUUGUAGUCAGAGUUGAAGACCACUGCUCUAAAUUAGUGCAGGAAAAUGCUUUUAUUUCUCCCAUGUUAACUUUUAAAACUAGUAAUGUACCCAGUUAAGUUUUGAUGGUUUAAAUUCCACUAAAGAACAUAUUCUUCUAAUAACUAGCAUUUAUUACAUGAAAUUUAAGAGUUUAAGUUCCAUCAAACUAGCCCUUGUGUAAGAUUAUUAUUUCUUCUCUAUAACUUCAAAAUAGAUAUUUCAUUCAAACUGUUCAGGUGAGAAAACAUAAUGGAUUUUUUUUUUUUUCCUCUGGAGCUGCCUGUUCAGUGAGAUGGAGGAGGUGGGCACAUUUAAGGUCAGUUCACUAACCUAUGGUUCAGAGUUCUGAUCAUAUGGAAGUUUGGAAAAGAGAGCUUAUCACAGGUUUGUAUGCUGGUGAAUGGAUAGUUUUAAUUCUCACUGUCUCAAAAGAGAAUCAGCUCUCCAGCAGUUCUAGAAAAGCUUUGACAAUCCCCAAGGGGCAGUGUUACCUUACUCCUUCACUGCUUCUUAGAAGGUAGAAUUAAGUUUCUGGAAUUGCACCUACAUGUUUUCUUAUUAACAUUCAGAAUUGGGAAUAUUAAUUUUUCCAGUGAGUAGUUUUCUGAAAUUGGUAACUUGGAGAGUAAAAUAACGUAUUUUGCUUUUCAAUUUUGUGUUUGUUUACUUUUAUGUAAAAAUUUGAUAUGUGAAUUACACAGUUCUAAUAAAACCUCAUGCCUUUUCAUUACAUCUAAUUUGAACUCUCAACUUCAUGUUACAGAAUGCUUUAAAGAUGCUUUAAUGAAAAGUAUUAAGAAAAUAUAUAGAUUUGUAUGUCAGUUUAUACUUCAGAAAUCCAUAUAUUUGUCAUAUUUAUUUUUUUAGAAACCUCCUAAUUGGAUAACUAGAUGGUAUUUAAAAUGAAUGCCCAAAAAUAUCUUGUACCUUUGUCCAAAAGUUUAUCUGUUGGAAGCCGCCAGCCAUUCAUGUAGAGAGUUUAUAAGAAAAUAAUUUAAAAUUGUAUGCAUUUUAUAUUACUAUGGUAUCUGUGUACCAUAUUUCUAAGUAUUCAUUAUUAAAUUGGUACUUCUUAAAACCAUAACCUGGCUUGCCUUUUAGUGUUAAAAAAAUACAACAUUGUAUAUAGAGAUUUCUUUUAUGAAGAAGAGCUGACGUAAUUUAUUAGCAGUGAUCUGAGAAAGACAUUAAAUAAGUUUCUGAGAGUGAUACAUUUUCAAACAUGAGGAGUGACAACCACCAAAUUAAGAAAAGGAAACAACUCAGACUUGGAAUUUUAUACGAAUUUCAUUUCUAUAUGUGCCUGGUAUUGCCUCUGGCAUAACUUAGAGGAAAUUGUUCUACCUAUAUGUCCUCAGUUUCUUCAUCUACAAGUUGGGAAAAACAUUUUCCUCUUAAAAUUGUGAAGAGGAUUUAUAUAUUUAUAUGAUAUAUUGUAUAUAUUAAUAUAUUUAAAUUGCUUAGAGUUUCUAGCACAUAGCAAAUAAUAAAUAUUAGUUAUUAGUAUAAACAUAAGGCUUAAAGUCUUGGAUUUGAUGCAUAUGACUUAAUUUGUAUUUGUGCUAGUAGCUGUAAUGUCAGUGACAGGAUAACAAGCAAAUGAUUAGAAAUCUAAUAGUAAUGCUUGUUCCUUUGCUAUCUAUGCUAACAAGUACAUAGAUAGCCUAAGAUAAAUUAUACUUAGGAUGAAGCUAAAAUGCAUAACUGAGACACCUUAAAAUUGUACUACCUUGUGCUGUUCACUGCCAUCAGGGAGGUAGCAUAAAAUGAAAGAUAAAGUCUGAAGACUGGAUCCAGGCAAAUUCAUGUUCUUUCUUUGUAACUCACUUUCUUCGUCAACAUUUCUGUGACUCAAUGGAUAGCAUAUUUCCAUCAAGUAGCACGUAUAACGUGAUGCUUUCAUGUUUCUGCCUUAAAUAAAAUAACCCUCAAAAAACCA